CUAUGCCCUGCUACACCAGUAAGUUGACUCACUGUACAAUACCUCUCCCCUUCACUCUACUGCAGGGUGGGAGAUGCAACAAUGGCCUUGAGAACAGCAGGAAGUGUGUUGGUGGUCUUUCUCUGGUCUGUAGCAGUGGUACUGGGUCAGGAUGGCUGGAGUGUUACAUACACCACUCAGAGUAUCUGUACCUUGAAGGGGUCAACAGUGGAGAUGUCCUGCUCUUACACAUAUCCCAGUGGUUAUAUCGUCACUUCAACCUUCUGGUUCACUAAAAAUGAUGCUGAGGGGAAUCCUGUUAGUCUGAGUGAUGACGCAGACUACAAAGCUCGUGUGACGUAUCAUAAAGAUAACAAGAAUGACUGCACUCUGAGAAUCACAGACCUGAGAGAGAGUGACUCAGCUACGUACAUGUUCAGAUUUAUAACAGAUCAGACUGGAGGGAGAUUUACUGGCAGUCCUGGAGUCACUCUGUCUGUCACAGAUCUGCAGGUGAAGGUGACUCCUUAUUCAGUUGUAUCAGCGUGGAAGACACUGACUUGCACCACCUGUGUUCUGACUGGUAACCCCACCUACAUCUGGUACAAGAACGGACAGAUAGUAACUGACAACACUUCUCCCUAUUCAGUCUACCCUGAUGCUGCAGACAGCUACUCCUGUGCUGUAAAAUCCAAUGAGGAUCUCCACACUCCUGCAGUGUGUGUUCAGGAUCAGAGCUGCAACAGAGUAACUUAUAUUGACAAGAGUAUCUGUGCCUUGAAGGGGUCAUCAGUGGACAUAUCCUGUACUUAUUCCAGUUAUCAUCCGAUCAAAACAACAUUCUGGUUUAGAAGUGAUAAGUCGGCCCCUGAGGACCUAACCAGAGACCCAGAGUAUGCAGGUCGGGCCCUGGAGAGCCUUCCCUCCACCCUGAGAAUCACGGAUCUGAGAGAGAGCGACUCAGCUGAGUAUAAAUUCAGAUUCAACACACAGAUCUCAGGAUGGGGGUACAGCUUCCCUGGAACAACUCUGUCUGUCACAGACCUGCAGGUGAAGGUGACUCCUGACACAGAGGGACAGAAGACACUGACCUGUAGCACCACCUGUACUCUGACUGACAACCCCACCUACAUCUGGUACAGGAACGGACAACGUCUAGAUGAGUCUACUUCCCUGCAAUACUCUGUCAAUAAUUCUUAUUCAGACAGUUACUCCUGUGCUGUAAAAAGCCAUGAGGAUAUCCAAGCUCCAGCAGUGUGUGUUCGGGGUGAGAGCUGUAUGAAUGUGACUUACACCCAUCAGAGUAUCUGUGCUUUGAAAGGGUCAACAGUGGACAUAUCGUGCUUUUACACACAUCCCAGUUGGCAUAACGUCACAGAAGUAUCCUGGUUCAGCAAAUGGGAGACUGGUGUAACUAACGAUCUGAGCCAGGACCCAGAGUAUGCAGAUCGUGUGAAGUACCAUCGACAAACAGACAAGGACUCCACUCUAACAAUCACAGACCUGAGGGAAAGAGACUCAACUGAGUACAAGUUCAGAUUUAAAACAGUUCAUGCAGAAUGGGGAUACACCUUCUCUGGAACAACUCUGUCUGCCACAGGUCUGCAGGUGGAGAUGACUCCUGCCACAGUGACUGAGGGACAGAGAGUGACACUGGACUGUAGGACCGUCUGUACUCUGACUGAUAACCCCAACCCCUCCUACAUCUGGUACAAGUUAGGCCAGCGCCUCACCAACCAAAAUAACAGUCUGAUCCUCAACCCAGUCAGCAGUGAGGAUGCAGGCAGAUACUCCUGUUCUGUAGAAGGCUUUGAGGAUCUCCACUCACCUGAAGAGACUCUCACUGUCAAAUAUGGCCCAAAGAACACACGGGCAUCAAUCCAUCUCUCUGAUGAAAUAGUGGAGGGCAGUUCAGUGACUCUGACCUGCAUCAGUGAUGCCAACCCACCUGUGGACAAAUACACCUGGUACAAGAAGAUUGGAGCCCACUAUCAGUCUUUCUCCCAUGGGAACACAGAACUACAGCAUGUCUUCAGUCGCAUCCAGUCAUCUGACACUGGGGAGUACUACUGCGAGGCCCAGAAUGAUUUGGGGACAGACAGGUCUGAGUCUAUCAACAUCGAUGUGAAAUAUGGCCCAAAGAGCACCUUCGUUUCAGUCAGUCCCUCUGGUGACAUAGUGGAGGGCAGUUCAGUGACUCUGACCUGCAGCAGUGAUGCCAACCCACCUGUGCAGAGUUAUGCCUGGUACAAGAAUGGAAGUGUCUAUCAGAGUAUCUUCUAUGGGAACACAGAAUCACAGCAGGUUUUCAGCCAAAUCAAGUCAUCUGACACUAGACAGUACUACUGCUGGGUCUCGAAUGGAAUUAGUACGGACAGGUCUCCAUCUUUAGACAUCGAUGUUAAAUAUGCUCCCAAAAGCACCUCAGUGUCAGUCAGUCCCUCUGGUGAAAUAGUGGAGGGCAACUCUGUCACUCUGACCUGCAGCAGUGAUGCCAAACCACCUGUGGACAAAUACACCUGGUACAAGAAGAACGUAACCUCACCAAAAGCAUCAGGACAGAGUUACAGCAUCACUAACAUCAUCUCUGAGGACAGAGGAGAAUAUUACUGUGAGGCUGAGAAUAAAUAUGGACGUCUCACCUCUUCCCCUGUAUUUGUGGACGUUCAGUAUGACCCAAAGAACACCUCAGUGUCAGUCAGUCCCUCUGGUGAAAUAGUGGAGGGCAGUUCAGUGACUCUGACCUGCAGCAGUGAUGCCAACCCACCUGUGCAGAGUUACACCUGGUACAAGACGAUUGGCUAUCAGUCUGUCUCCUACGGGAACACAGAACCACAGCAAGUCUUCAACCAAAUCAAGUCAUCUGCCACUGGAGAGUACUACUGUGAGGCCUGGAAUGGGAUGAAGACAGGGAGGUCUGAGUCAAUCAACAUCGAUGUGAAAUACGGCCCAAAGAACAUCUCAGUGUCAACCAAUCUCUUUGGUGAAAUAGUGGAGGGCAGUUCAGUGAAUCUGACCUGCAGCAGUGAUGCCAACCCACCUGUGGACAAAUACACCUGGUACAAGAAGAACGUAACCUCACCAAAAGCAUCAGGACAGAGUUACAGCAUCACUAACAUCAUCUCUGAGGACAGAGGAGAAUAUUACUGUGAGGCUGAGAAUAAAUAUGGACGUCUCACCUCUUCCCCUGUAUUUGUGGACGUUCAGUAUGGCCCAAAGAACACCUCAGUGUCAGUCAGUCCCUCUGGUGAAAUAGUGGAGGGCAGUUCAGUGACUCUGACCUGCAGCAGUGAUGCCAACCCACCUGUGAAGCGUUAUACCUGGUACAAGAAGAUUGGCUAUCAGUCUGUCUCCUACGGGAACACAGGACCACAGCAAGUCUUCAACCAAAUCAAGUCAUCUGACACUGGAGAGUACUACUGUGAGGCCUGGAAUGGGAUGAAGACAGGGAGGUCUGAGUCAAUCAACAUCGAUGUGAAAUAUGGCCCAAAGAACACCUCAGUGUCAGUCAGUCCCUCUGGUGAAAUAGUGGAGGGCAGUUCAGUGACUCUGACCUGCAGCAGUGACGCCAACCCACCUGUGCAGAGUUACACCUGGUAUAAGAAGAAUGGAGGUGACAAUCAGAGUAUGACAGGACCACAACAUGUCUUCAACCAAAUCCAGUCGUCUGACACUGGAGAGUACUACUGUGAGGCCUGGAAUGGGAUGAAGACAGGGAGGUCUGAGUAUAUCGACAUUGAUGUGAAAUACGGUCCAAAGAACACCUCAGUGUCAGUCAGUCCCUCUGUUGAAAUAACGGAGGGCAGUCCAGUGACUCUGACCUGCAGCAGUGAUGCCAACCCACCUGUGCAGAUGUACAUCUGGUACAAGACGAAUGGAGCUGAAACCUCAAUGAGACAUUCUGGAUGGAGUUACAGGAUCACUAACAUCAGCCCUGAGGACAGAGGAGAAUACUACUGUCUGGCAGUGAAUGAAGUUGGUUGCAAAAGAUCAAAGCUUGUUCCUCUAAAAGUUUUGUGUAAACCAAAGACCACCUCCGUGUCAGUCAGUCCCUCUGGUGAAAUAGUGGAGGGCAGUUCAGUGACUCUGACCUGCAGCAGUGAUGCCAACCCACCUGUGGACAAAUACACCUGGUACAAGAAGAAUGGAGCUUCACUGAAAGGAUCUGAAAACACCUUCCUCAUCACCAACAUUAACUCUGAGGACAGUGGAGAAUAUUACUGUGAGGCUGAGAAUGAAUAUGGAGGUCUCAACUCUUCUACAAUUUCUGUAGAUGUUCAGUAUGGCCCAAAGAACACCUCAGUAUCAGUCAGUCCCUCUGGUGAAAUAGUGGAGGGCAGUUCAGUAACUCUGACCUGCAGCAGUGAUGCCAACCCACCUGUGCAGAAUUACACCUGGUACAAGAAGAAUGUAACCUCACCAGUAUUGUCAGGACAGAAUUACAACAUCACUAACAUCAGCUCUGAGUACAGUGGACAUUACUACUGUGAGGCCAGGAAUAAAAUAGCAUCUGAGAACUCUACAGCUCUGAGGAUCAUUGUAGCAGGGAAACAUACCUCAAUUAAGACUGCAGCUGUAGGAAUCAUAAUUGUUGUUCUGGUUCUCAUACUCUGUCUCUCUGGCUUCAUGUGGUUCAGGAAGAAGGCAUCCAAAUCCACCUCAAUAGAAACCAGAGACACAGCAGACGAGGGACAGGGAGACUCUACUCUCCUUUAUGACAACAUGGCCAUGCAGCAGAGACAGCAGUCACCGUCGAGUCAGGAUGACGUUCACUACACCAGCGUCCACGUCUCUCACUCCAAAAACCAGGAAGAGCUUUGUGCUCCAUCGUCCAACUGCCUCAACCCCAGAAACAGGACAGAGAUGUCCAGUACACUGCUGUGAAAUUCAACCCCCUCAGUGCUACCACCCGAUGCUGAACUUAUAAUAUGGCUAUUAAUACUUGGAAAGCUAAAUCAAAGUCCAAGCAUUCAGAUUUGACGAUAUUCUUUGCAGAAAAAUGGAAUAUGAAUGCGAACGUCUCCUUCACGAUUUGCUCAAAUGUACCUGGGGACUUCACACUAAAAGUAUUGAGGAUCAGUCAUUCUCCAAGUUAUCCAUCUGAAACUUUGCACAUACACUGCUGCCAUCUUGUGGACUCUAUCGGAAUUACAACCAGAGUGAUGGAUUUAACAGUGACGUUUCUCUUGCAUUUCAAAGAUUGUGGUAAAAAAAACACUGACCCACGGUGGCACAAGCAGCUGAGGAGGACACCUCUGAGAUCUACAGAACAGUCAACAAACCCAGAACCAAGACCACCUGAACACAACAAAACCAAGAACACCUGAACACAACAAAACCAAGAACACCUGAACACAACAAACCCCAAACCAAGAAGAACUUAAAACAACAAUCCCAGAACCAAGAAGACCUGAACACAACAAAACCAGAACCAAGAAGACCUGAACACAACAAACUGUUUUUAAGAAAUGUUUGCAAAAAACUAAACAACUGAAAUGUACAUUUACAUAAGUAUUCAGACCUUGGUUGAUGCGCCAUUGGCAGCGAUUACAGCCUCGAGUGUUCUUGGGUAUGAUGCUACAAGGUUAUACAUUUUUUACAGCAAGUACAUUUUGUUUCAUAUGUCUGUUACGCAAAUAAAUUCAAUUCAUUUAUAUACACUUAGUAUAAGUUUGCUAGAUUUUUAAAAAUAUAUUUGUUUCAUUGUUUUUAUCACAAAGUUAUAGCACAAUUUUGACUCAAAUUUAAGGAAAUAGUUCUUCUUGAUUCAACGUUUCUUAUUAAUUGUUUCAUUUUUGUGUUUUUACUAAUGUGUGAAGUGUAAACAAUCUAUCAUAAACUUCAUUGUCAUUGUUUUUACCUUGUUAUGACAGUAUUUUCUGUGGAGAGAAUAUUAAAAGCUUUUAAAAUCAA